CAAUAUCACAUUAAUCAGGGUUUGUAGUCUGUGUGAAGACAAACUUCCCAAAUCAUCACAGUUUGUGUGAUGCAGAAGAGCAUAACAUUCCCUAUCAGUUGAGAAACUACAGAUCCCUUAAAUGUUCCCCUAGACCUUCCUUCUGCAGGAACAGUGACAUAAUCGUAAGCUGAUGAUGACAAAGUGCGCAUGGAGCAUCUCUACCAUUGCUGAUUUGUCAAGGUGGCAACACCCUCUGGGGUGAGAUGUACCUCUGAGAACCUGAACAAGAAGAUCAAACAUCAAGCCUAAAUGUGGAGAACCGUGAUAUUUCAUCUCCUACGAAAAUAUUUCAAGUACAUCCUUUAAAUGUCAUUUUACAAAACGUCUCACUCCAGAGGCUUCAUUUCCUAUCUUUACCAGUAGUAGCCUUUUGUUGCUAUAUUCCCGUCAGUCCCUGCUAUAUAUGGAUACCAUUAGCACUAAAUAUGGUUUUCAUCACGAAACUCCUCGAAUUUUCCAUUGUGGGCACUAUUAGUCAGGGAUCAUGUGAAUCAUAGGAGUUAAAAAUUACUUGCUUGGAACAUUGUUGAGAGCAAACCAGAACGAACAUAGAGGUGAUAAUUUCUAAUAAGUGGAAGAAAUGCUAAUUUAAACUCCCUUUGGGAAGGCUUCAAAAUCCGGGACUUCCCAAUUAAAAUUUAUCAGGCUACUGCUUUGCAAAUUGCUUUCCAAGAACACAACAGAUCAUGACCUUUCCUGCUACGUACUGGUCUGGCAGGAUCAUUUUGCCCACCCUCAUUGCCUUUCAUGCUGGCUAAGAUGUAGAAAAAGAUACUCCCUCAGCAAGGGGGAACACGCUUGGCUGCUGCUGCUUGCUCAGCCCACCUGGAGACAGCAAGACUUGCAGGAAUGUUAAACGAGGGGCAUGCAAAUGUGCUGAUCUGCUGCCUCAUGUCUCACACCUGCCAUGUUCCCUGCUCACAUCACCAUGAGAGUUGGACUAGAUGACCCUUAAGGGUCCCUUCCAACUCAAAUGAUUUCAGGGACGUAGGGGAAAUUGAAGGUCUGCCCGGGUCAUCUGCAGGCCAGCAGGUGUCUUUCACUCAGGCAUACCUGAGGUAUUCAGGAGCUGGCAAGCAAAACGUCACCAAACAUCCCCAAAUGAGAGAGAAGAGCAAGCUCCUGGUGCAAUGGGAAUACCCAUUCUGAGCAUGUAGGAACAGUUUCUGGGCAUUUUAAAGAAGGGGCAUGCUCAAAAGUUGUUUAGAUUCAAGCCAAUAUGCAGGUGGGUAUAUCCCAGGAUAAUAGUAGGCAUUUUCAAAGAAGUAUGACACAGUUGGCUUAUUUGACAGAUCCUUCUGUGAUUCACCAGGGUUUUCUCCUUUAAUUUUCUGCAAAUUUUCCACAAAAAAUUCUUCUUCAUUAUGGGCUUAUGCUGCUGAUUAUCCCUGACCAAGUGUAUGCCUUGCGUGUGUCCCUGUUGAACCGCGUUCUGUUGUUUUGUUUUCCAGAGCAUUCUUCCAGUUUGGCAGGAUCAUUUUGAAUUCUAAUCCUGUCCUCUGUCAAACUCACAAGUCAUUCCUGCCUUGUGUCAUCUGUAAAUUUAAUAAACAUUCUCAAUAUUCUAUCAUGAGGUCAUUAGCAAAAAUAUUCAACACUAAUUCCAGAUGGUCUCUUACAUUUCUGGGCAAAGAGGAAUGUGUUGAAACAUUUCCUUGACUGACAAUUCCCUCCAUUCGUGAUACUGCUGAGAACUUUGGAUCUGGGUUGUGUGGUCACCAAGGUUAGAAAAAACUCUUGCAUGUAGAUGAAGUGAGCAUUCCUUCUGGCACGGCAUGCUGUAUUUCUUUCCC